rnacentral:rRNA from 1 species
AGAGUUUGAUCAUGCUCAGGAUGAACGCUGGCGGCGUGCCUAAUACAUGCAAGUCGAACGCUUUGUGGUUCAACUGAUUUGAAGAGCUUGCUCAGAUAUGACGAUGGACAUUGCAAAGAGUGGCGAACGGGUGAGUAACACGUGGGAAACCUACCUCUUAGCAGGGGAUAACAUUUGGAAACAGAUGCUAAUACCGUAUAACAAUAGCAACCGCAUGGUUGCUACUUAAAAGAUGGUUCUGCUAUCACUAAGAGAUGGUCCCGCGGUGCAUUAGUUAGUUGGUGAGGUAAUGGCUCACCAAGACGACGAUGCAUAGCCGAGUUGAGAGACUGAUCGGCCACAAUGGGACUGAGACACGGCCCAU